UCUUGUGUACAAUAUUUCUUUUUUGGAUAAUUUAAUGUGAUUCAACUAUUGGAUAUUCCUUACAAAUUGGAUUAUUGAAAUAGCACGGAUUAUUGGAGCAGAUUGGAUUAUUUAUUACUCAAAGACUUUGCGAUCAAUAUGGCAGAUGAUGUAAAGGUCAUCUGUUUCUGUGGCACACGGUUAAUGAGGGUGUCAUGUGGCUAUCUUGAUACAGUCUCUAAUCUAAUGAGCUUCAAUGUUAAUCAGCUAAGUAAAAAUCAUUUCACCCGUUCCAUGUAAAUAUGCACCUGAAACUCAACUAUACGUUUACCUUGCUUAUUGAGGUAAUUAGUAAAACAGUGGACAGUCGUCAGGAGAUUGACUGUAGAAUGGGGUUGAUUUCGAUACUUGACGAUUCUUUCCGAUUACCCGGCUGGUUCGAUUAACCGGGUGUCCACUACUGAAUCACUAUUUUUUCCUCCUCCUCUAGAACGCGUAUUGAGCUUACUUCAGAAAUCUAUAAGUAAUGUAAGUUCCCCUUUCAGAUCUUGCCAUCUAUAGGCCCCAUGGUUAACAAGGGUGUAAUGUGCUCAGCACAACGACCAACCGCCUUUACCUCUCCCCAACUAAUGUAAGGUACCCAUUAGAGCUGUGUAUUCAUCAGGUUCGAACCAGGGGCCCCGUUUCGGAAGACAAACGCUUUACCACUCAGCCACCGCGCCUACUGUAAAGAGGAUUAAUUUUUACAUGGUAUUACACUUCUUAGUGUGAAUUAUAACUAAUACAAUGUACUAAACUAUAAGAACAG